rnacentral:rRNA from 1 species
UACGUAGGGUGCAAGCGUUGUCCGGAAUUAUUGGGCGUAAAGAGCUCGUAGGCGGUUCGUCGCGUCGGCUGUGAAAUCCCGGAGCUCAACUCCGGGUCUGCAGUCGAUACGGGCGGACUCGAGUUCGGCAGGGGAGACUGGAAUUCCUGGUGUAGCGGUGAAAUGCGCAGAUAUCAGGAGGAACACCGGUGGCGAAGGCGAGUCUCUGGACAUUUCCUGACGCUGAGGCACGAAAGCCAGGGGAGCAAACGGG